CUGCUGGCUUUAGCAGCACAUGUACUAAAACUGGAACAAUACAGAGAAAAUUUGCAAGGCCCCUGCACAAGGAUGACACGCAAAAUCUAUGCAUUCCAUAUUUUU
rnacentral:snRNA from 1 species